GGCUACCGAUAUUCUCGGGACUCUUACUACGUCCCAGGCAGAGUUUCACCUGAAUUGUUCCAUUUAGCCUUAAUCACCCCUCUCCAAAUGUGCACCAUGGUCCUUCCCAGCAUGAGUCCCCUGUCCCCGUUGCUCCAGGCAAAGACCCUGCUCCCGCGGGCAUCCAGAGGCAGCAAGAAAGGGGGCGCCUGCAUAUGCUGCGCGUUGCAACCACCCAUGUAAGGGAGACUGCUCUGUUCUGCUUCCUGGAUACAAAAAACGAGGCCCAGAGAGGGACAGAGACCUGCCUGCAGUCACAGAGGGGGAGGCAAAAACAAGAUCUGCUGCUGACCGUGCAGAAUGCUGGCUUCAGCAGCCACUUCUCCCAGGCCUAUUUUUAGACCCAAUUCACUUCUAAAUGCAAACACAUUGUCAAGACAGUGGCCAACUUGGACCCCGUCCACCAGCAGCCCUCUCUGCGACACCAGAAUAGAAAAUGGCUCUAUUUGUGGACGACACGGCCCGUUGGCGGAGGCCUGGGCUUCGGCGGGAGGCCAGAUCGCGGCCCAGCCCCUGGAUGACCCGGACGCAUCGAUGCUUCCUACCCAAAUACAGUAUAAAAAUGCAUGUGGAAUCACGCUGCAGUUAAUCUCAUAAAAAGGCAACUUUUUCCUGGACCGACCAUGGUGCCAGGCGAGUGGGAGCCGAGCUUGGAGGAGAGUGGAUGCUAUUUGCCGUAGGCAGGCUGCCCGAGGUCGUGUCUCAUUAUCUCUGCUUUCCUAGUCAGAAAGCCCUUGGACCGGGAACUGGGGGUUGUGGACCGGUCUCAGGAGCACGAAAAUCGUAACAGCCGCAGUUACUCAUUGUGUGUUCACUGUGGGCUGGUGCCGCAUCCAUCUCAUUCCCCAGAGCGCUCUCUGAGGGCUUAGGACUAGGCCUUACGCAUCUUCAUUUUCCCAGGAAGGGAUGUUUGUUUGACUCAGGAAGAUGCUCCGUAAUGGGAGUUGAAUAACUGGAUGACACUCCAGGAAAAAAAAAAAGGGGAGAUUCCCUGGUGGCCUAGCAGCGAAAGACUCAGCAUUGUCACUGCUGUGGCUCUGCUUACUCCUGUAGCAGGGGUUUGAUCCCUGGCCUGGGAAACACCUCAUGAGGCAGGUGCAGCCCUAACCAGAAAAACAGAAGUAGAGGACUUUAAAACUAACAAUAGAGGAGUUCCCACUGUGGCUGAGUGGGUUGAGAACCUGACAUGGUGUCCAUGAGAUGUAGGUUCGAUCUCUGGCCUUACUCAUUGGGUUAAGGAUCCAGCGUGGCCACAACCUGUGAUGAAGUUCAAGGAUGCAGCUCGGAUCUGGUGUUGCUGUGGCUGUGGUAUAGGUCACAGAUACAGUGUGGCUGUGGCUGUGGUGCAGGCCUUGGCUGCAACUCAGGUUAGACCCCUAGCCCGGGAACUGCCACAUGCCACAGGUGCAGGUGUGGUGCUAAAAAGAAGAAAGAAACAAACAAACACAACUAACAAUAUAUAUAAAGCCGAGGUCACUUAUACCCUGUACCCACUAUUUUACAUGGGACAUUCAUUCUUAAGGCUGAACACUUGAAUUUGACCUGUAAUGACGUGGCUCUUUCAUCCAUGGGUCAAACUGGUCAAACUGGAGAAAAAACUUGGCCAGAUUCCUGCUGGGGAGGCGCGAUCUGGGGUGACAAUUUCACACGUGCUGCCGCACGUUGGAUGCAGGCGCUCCCGUGCCUGCGCUACUGCCGGCAUCUCCCACCCUUGGCGAGGAUCUGGUUGCUGGUCCAGGCUCCACGCGCCGUGUCUUCAUGGACGUCAGAAGGACAGAUCUCACUGCGCCCCAAAGCAGGGCCAAGGGACUGGCCCUGUCGGAACCGCGUAAAAGCUGCUCUCCAUGUGUGCGGGGCCGUGGCCCCUUCGCUUCUGAAAACCGGGAUGUAUAUACGUGCAUAUAAAUUUGGCCUUUUAACA
rnacentral:lncRNA from 1 species